GAAAAGUAAAUCUUCUAAGAAUAUAUCAUUUUCUUAAAAUGCCACAAAAUUAAUACUUAGGAAGAAACUAUAUAUUUGAUACAGUGGAAGAAGUCUUCCUCUAGAAGCAAUUUUUCAUCUUGUUUAUUUCUUAGCUUUCAUGCUCAUGUCUGUAGAACAAGUGAGGAUAAAUAGGCCAGUCCAAAAAUUGCCUCUCUUUUAAUUAAAAACACACACACAUGUGCAUACAUGCAAAACUUUAUUAAGUGUGACAUAUUUUGUCUCUUGAAUUUUAUACUUUCUCAAUUCUCAGUAACUCCAGCCAUCAACAGUCUGUCAACAGAUAAGCAAUGUUGAUGAGCUUCUUAUAUUUUU
rnacentral:lncRNA from 1 species